AGGAAGGUGGGGAUGACGUCAAGUCAGCAUGGCCCUUACGUCCGGGGCUACACACGUGCUACAAUGGUCGGUACAAAGGGUUGCCAAGCCGCGAGGUGGAGCUAAUCCCAUAAAACCGAUCGUAGUCCGGAUCGCAGUCUGCAACUCGACUGCGUGAAGUCGGAAUCGCUAGUAAUCGUGAAUCAGAAUGUCACGGUGAAUACGUUCCCGGGCCUU
rnacentral:rRNA from 1 species